GAUGAACGCUAGCUACAGGCUUAACACAUGCAAGUCGAGGGGCAGCAUGGAAGAAGCUUGCUUCUUCUGAUAGCGACCGGCGCACGGGUGCGUAACGCGUAUCAAACCUGCCUCAUACUCGGGGAUAGCCUUGCGAAAGUAAGAUUAAUACCCGAUGUUGUUAUGUUACCGCAUGGUGAUAUAACCAAAGAUUUAUCGGUAUGAGAUGGUGAUGCGUCCGAUUAGGUAGUAGGCGGGGUAACGGCCCACCUAGCCUUCGAUCGGUAGGGGUUCUGAGAGGAAGGUCCCCCACACUGGAACUGAGACACGGUCCAGACUCCUACGGGAGGCAGCAGUGAGGAAUAUUGGUCAAUGGACGGAAGUCUGAACCAGCCAAGUAGCGUGCAGGAUGACGGCCCUCUGGGUUGUAAACUGCUUUUAGUUGGGAAUAAAAAAGAGGACGUGUCCUCUAUUGUAUGUACCUUCAGAAAAAGGACCGGCUAAUUCCGUGCCAGCAGCCGCGGUAAUACGGAAGGUCCAGGCGUCAUCCGGAUUUAUUGGGUUUAAAGGGAGCGUAGGCGGAUUAUUAAGUCAGUGGUGAAAGACGGUGGCUCAACCAUCGUUAGCCAUUGAAACUGGUAGUCUUGAGUGCAGACAGGGAUGCUGGAACUCGUGGUGUAGCGGUGAAAUGCUUAGAUAUCACGAUGAACUCCGAUCGCGAAGGCAGGUGUCCGGGCUGCAACUGACGCUGAGGCUCGAAAGUGUGGGUAUCAAACAGGAUUAGAUACCCUGGUAGUCCACACAGUAAACGAUGUAUACUCGCGGUUUGCGAUAGACAGUAAGCCGCCAAGCGAAAGCAUUAAGUAUAC
rnacentral:rRNA from 1 species